rnacentral:rRNA from 1 species
CGCCCAUCAGCUAGCCCCACCCACCAAUAACAACAAAUCACUAUUAAUAACCCCGAAAACACACUAAAUUUAUUUACUAAACCAUUCUCCCCCCUUAGUAUGGGCGACAGAAAAGGAACUAGCGGAGCAAUAGAGAAAGUACCGCAAGGGAACGCUGAAAGAGAGGUGAAAAAGCCCAGUAAAGCCUAAAAAAGCAGAGAUUUGACCUCGUACCUUUUGCAUCAUGAUUUAGCCAGCACCCUCAAGCGAAGAGCACUUUAGUUUGAUACCCCGAAACUAGGUGAGCUACUCCAAGACAGCCUAUUUAUUAGGGCGAACCCGUCUCUGUGGCAAAAGAGUGGGAAGAGCUUUGAGUAGAGGUGACAGACCUACCGAACCUAGUUAUAGCUGGUUGCCUGGGAAUUGGAUAGAAGUUCAGCCUUGCGGCUUCUCCAUUCACCUCCGUUUCAACUUCCUCCGGAUAAUCCGAGAAACUGCGAGAGUUAGUCAAAGGGGGUACAGCCCCUUUGAACCAAGACACAACUUUUCCAGGAGGGUAAAGAUCAUAAUAAUCAAGGAACAAUGUUCUGGUGGGCCUAAAAGCAGCCAUCCCCGCAGAAAGCGUUAAAGCUCGGACAUACCUUACCUCCCUAUAUACUGAUAACCAAAUCUUAACCCCCUAACUCUACCAGGCCGCCCCAUGCAGACAUGGGCGUGACUAUGCUAAUAUGAGUAACAAGAGAGUACCUACCCCCUCUCUCCUUGCACACGUGUAAAUCGGAACGGACCUACCACCGAAUCUUAACGGCCCCAAACAAAGAGGGCACUGAAAAAUGACCCAAGCAAACCAGAAAACCAUCCAGCUUAUUACCGUUAACCCCACACUGGUGUGCCCCUAAGGAAAGACUAAAAGAAAGAGAAGGAACUCGGCAAACACAUGAAGCCCUCGCCUGUUUACCAAAAACAUCGCCUCUUGCAAAACCAAAGAAUAAGAGGUCCCGCCUGCCCAGUGACAAUCUAGUUCAACGGCCGCGGUAUUUUGACCGUGCAAAGGUAGCGUAAUCACUUGUCUUUUAAAUGAAGACCUGUAUGAAUGGCAUAACGAGGGCUUAGCUGUCUCCUCUUUCCAGUCAAUGAAAUUGAUCUCCCCGUGCAGAAGCGGGGAUAUAACCAUAAGACGAGAAGACCCUAUGGAGCUUUAGACGUCAAAGCAGAUCAUGUUAAACACCCCCAAAUAAGGGACCAAACUAAAUGACCCCUGCUUUAAUGUCUUCGGUUGGGGCGACCAUGGGGAAAUAAAAAACCCCCACGCGGACUGGGAGCACUAAACCCCUUCUUUACCUCUCCUCCCACAACUAAGAGCUACAGCUCUAACUAACAGAAUAUCUGACCAAUCAAGAUCCGGCAAUGCCGAUCAACGGACCAAGUUACCCUAGGGAUAACAGCGCAAUCCCCUUUUAGAGCCCAUAUCGACAAGGGGGUUUACGACCUCGAUGUUGGAUCAGGACAUCCUAAUGGUGCAGCCGCUAUUAAGGGUUCGUUUGUUCAACGAUUAAAGUCCUACGUGAUCUGAGUUCAGACCGGAGUAAUCCAGGUCAGUUUCUAUCUAUGUUAUGAUCUUUUCUAGUACGAAAGGACCGAAAAGAAGAGGCCCAUGCUUGAAGUACGCCUCACCCCCACCUAAUGAAAGCAUCUAAACUAGGCAAGAGGGCAUACCCUUCAUGCCUGAGAGAAUGGCAU